CAGACUUUCACACGCUCGUGCCACCUAUAAGAUGCUAUACUUUGGCUAAAUAGGCACGUAUGUUAUGAUGUUGAACUACGAAGCGGCCGACUUGGUGAUAUUCUUAAUGUCAGACCGUGCCACCAAUCUCUUUGCUUUCAAACUUAGCUCUAUCAUGCGAUGAACUCCUUGGGAGGUCCCAGGAUUUUCCCUCCCUCUAUUCAAAUAGAUCCUCCAGAACGGUCAGCGACGUAGGGAACCGUCCAGUCGGCAAUAGUAUUCGCCUCUCG
rnacentral:lncRNA from 1 species